GGAGAGGUGGCUGAGCGGCUUAAAGCGACGGUUUGCUAAACCGUUGUAGGGUCUAAAGCCCUACCCCGGGUUCGAAUCCCGGCCUCUCCGCCA
rnacentral:tRNA from 1 species